ncrna:unclassified sequences RAGATH-17 RNA
AAGGGUGAAAGCCCUUGAUACUGUAGUGGAAAUUAUAAAUAAGAAGAGUUCUGAGUUGCUUAAGCAGAACUAAAAUAAAAAGACAAGCAUUAUUACA